CCUCACCAUACUGUGCGAUGGACUUAAAUGGGCCAAGCUGCUCUGCCUCUGUCUGAAACUGUGAACCACCAAAAACAGAGUGUUCUUCUCGUUCCCCAUGGCUCUUGGCCCUAGUGAGCUCCACGCCUCCACCUCGGCGCCGCAACUCUGCACGUCUAUUCGUCGCUGGUAGUGAUGCCGACGAAGGAGCCCGUACAUUCUCACCUCACCGUUGGUCUUGCCUCCCUUGCUCUCCUCUCUGACGGGCGUGCCGCCGCUGCUCUCCUCACGGUGGGCUUCGCCGUCGUCCCCGUGUCCUGUCCAUGGGUCGCAUCACCAUUGCUCUUCUCGUCGUGAGGAUCCUAGAGCGAGUUUACUGCAGAUCAAUGACAUCACCUGAAGUAUCUGUUGGACAUCCACAAGACUGCUCUAAUCAAUCUGAAGAAUGGGACACAGAGGAAGAGUGCUGUUUUUGAUGCAUCAGAACUAGAAUUUUGAUAAUUGUUGAAUGGUUCUUUUAUGGAAAGCUCAGAAGACUUCCUUUUUUCAAGUGGAGCUUGCUUCAUGAGUGGCCACCGAAGGCUGCUUCCCUCUAUUCUAUGGCAUUAUAUUGGGCUUGUCACUUCAAGAAUUAUUAGACUGAUACAAGACUUGUGUAGAAAUUUGUAGUGCAUAAUCAAAUACUGUUUUUCUAUGAAUUAUGUAAGGACUCACGAUGUUCAUUGCUAAUAUAUGCUUUUGUGAGUUUGAAUUUGGACUCGGGUAAAAUAAGUGAUUUUGUUGUAUUGUAUC